UUGUACUGUUCGUCUGUGUACUGUUCGUCUGGUUUCUGUCAUGUCUGUCCCCUGAUCAUUCCUUGUUGGCUCUAUGACCCUGGAACCUUUGGACUGUGACCCUGGAUUUGCCCAUACUAAAUGUUGCUUAUCUCCGCAUAUGUGUCUGCCUCCUUGCUCCCUGUUACACCUAUGAGCUUUACCAACUGACUUCUCCAUAUUUCAGCCACGCUUCCCACCAGGAACCAUUCUGGCAGGAAGAAGUCGAUGACAUUGAUGGUUUCCGAUAUCUGUCAAAGGCCGUCGAAUUGUCUCUAUAAAAACUGAAACACGGUGACUGCACACGGAAAAAGGCAAGAAGCUUCUUCUGCCUUUUCCAAGUUUAAAGAACAUGUAAAUCUGUUUAUCAAUCACUGUAAUACACUGUACUAAUCAAAUGGCUCAAACGCCCUGGCAGUGAUCUUUUUAAUGAUGGUAAGAAGCCUAACAUCACCCCUUUUUCACACACCCCAAAUUAAUGUCUGUAACGGAUCAUGAUUUGUCAAGUUUACAAAAUACUCUUAUCGAACACAAAACGUAAUGAAAGUUUGUCAGUACCUCACAAACACAACUCUAAUAGAGUCUGUGCCACUGCCGGCCAGUACCCUAGAAAAUGUACCAUCUCAGGAAUUUUUCUUAGAACUAAACCAGUCUUUUUAGAUUAAAUCAUAAUCUGGUAAAUUUAAGUCAGAACUCAUCAACCAGUCCUGUUCAUGAUGAUGAACAGGACUGUUCUUAUGGCUGAUAAUGAAAUCAGUAAUGCCCAUCACCAAAUGCUGAAAGAGGCUGAACUGAAUAACUUUUCUCCUCCUUUAAAUAACGGUAGAAAUGAACAAAUGGGAAAUGGUAUAGAUCCAAAUAUCAAAUCGUCUGGACAGGUUCAAUACCACAGAAAUUAGAAGGCGAGUAAACCUUUCCUCACUAGGUAAUGUUGAUAGUUUUGCUGCUUUUUAGUUAUGUUCUUGAAAUUUUAAAUGAAAUGCUGGAUGUGGCUAAUGAUGAAGUAGGACUGAGUGAUGUAGCAUGAAUGAAUCACCUUGAAUUUCAACAUAAUGUUUCAUCGCGUGUUCGGGUAGUCAACAGGAUAAUCGAACCAAGUUCUUUUGUCAUUGCUCGAAAAUGCCAUACAGAGUAAAUUUGAAAUACUUUCGGAUGAAACUUUGCAACUAGUGAUUCGAAUUGUACAUGCCCCCCAAGGGGGAGGGUGGCAAAAGCGAUCUUCAACUCUGAAUUUGUUCAGAAAAAGAUGAGACAUUCCACAAUAAAGACAACCUAUGCUUUA